rnacentral:rRNA from 1 species
CAGUCGCCGCGGUAAAACGGAGGAUCCAAGCGUUAUCCGGAUUUAUUGGGUUUAAAGGGUGCGUAGGUGGCCUGUUAAGUCAGGGGUGAAAGACGGUAGCUUAACUAUCGCAGUGCCUUUGAUACUGACGGGCUUGAAUACACUAGAGGUAGGCGGAAUGUGACAAGUAGCGGUGAAAUGCAUAGAUAUGUCACAGAACACCAAUUGCGAAGGCAGCUUACUAUGGUGUCAUUGACACUGAGGCACGAAAGCGUGGGGAUCAAACAGGAUUAGAGACCCGAGUAGUCCCUGUCUCUUAUAA